AGGAUGGCUGGCCCGUCAGUUGGUCGUUCGCGAACCGGCCGGCGGGUGAGAUCAAGCGCGAACUACGCUCGUAGACGCUCUGUUCGGUGCGACCGCGGACGCGGGUUCGAUUCCCGCCGCCUCCACUU
rnacentral:tmRNA from 1 species